AUGAGUAUCCUUAGUUGGAACUGUCGGGGCCUUGGGCAGCCCCGAAUAUUUCAAGAGUUGGUAUGCCUUGUUCAUACCUACCUCCCGAAGAUCGUCUUCUUGUCUGAAACAAGGCAAUGCAAAGAGAAAGUGAGAAGAAUAAAAUGGAGAAUAGGGAUGAGACACUGCUGUACUCAUGAUGGUAAGGGUAAAGGUGGAGGCAUUGCUUUGUACUGGGAUGAUCAAAUUAAAAUAAAAGUAUUGUCAUAUGGUCCUCGGUACUUUGAUGUGCUUGUGUGUGAUGAGCCCCAUGGCCCGAUGUGGCGGGGAACCUUUGUUUAUGGUGAACCCAGAACUCAAGAUAGGCAUCUUAUGUGGACUUUGCUGAAAAGAAUCAGGCCAAAUGCGAAUGAACCAUGGAUGAUGAUCGCUGAUUUUAAUGAGACGAUGUGGCAAUCUGAACACUUGUCAUGUACUAGAAGAUCUGAAGCACAAAUGGCACGAUUUAGGAAUAUGUUAUCUUAUUGUAAUUUACAUGACUUGGGGUUCAGAGGCAGGCCAUGGACCUUAUGA
rnacentral:rRNA from 1 species